rnacentral:lncRNA from 10 species
GCCUAGCCACGCCAAAGAAUUUGUGUGGCAGCUGACCGUGGUGAGGGAUAGAGACACAGACCGAGAGAGAAAAAGGCUGUAGGCUUUAUUGAGCAGAUUGAAAGGACAAAGCUUCCACAGUGUGGAAGGGGUCCCGAGCGGGUAGCCAGAGUUAGAUUAUGUGACUGCCUUUUAAACUCUUUAAGGCCGGAAAUACGUGUGGCGAGAUGUUACCAGAGCGAGAAACAAAGGCAAUUAACCGUUUGUAACAUGUCUUAGAUCUUGAGGAAAACUGGAAUUGCAACUUAGGUUUUAUCUACUUUAUGAACUUGCAGCAGCAUGGCAAAGGAGACGGGAUCUUACAGGACUUUGUUACAAAGACCGAAGUAAGUCCUGAUGCAGGAAAUGAGUGACUUUCACAGCUUUCUGAGCCCCUACUCAACCCAGGAAGUCCAGCUGGCACCUCCUCUGGAUCACAAGCACUUUGGGAGGCCAAAGCAAGAGGAUUGCUCGAGCCCAGGAGUUUGAGACCAGACUGGACAACAUAGUAAACCUCAUCCCUACAAAAAAAAAAAAAAAGUAAAAAACGAAGCUGAAGGAUCUUUUGAGCCCGGGAGGUCGAGAUUGCAAUGAGCCGUGAUCAUGCCAUUACACUUACACCUGGGUGGCAGAGUGAGACCCUGCCUCAAAAAAAUAAAUAAAUAAAAAAUAAAUCUUAAAUUGACUAUAAAUGCUUUUGCUUAGAAGACCUAGAUUGUCUAGAAACAUAAGAGAUCUACAAAGAACUAUAUCCAAAUAUUUAGUUAUUUCUGAUAGGGUUCCAUUUCUCAUUUUCAGAGAAAGCUGCCAGGAUAUGAUCAGUGUUCCUAACAGUUCUUGCUGAUUAGAAGAACUUCAUCAGGAGUUAGUAUUCAACACUCUACUGUACUGUAAUAUAAUCUUUUUCUGCCUCUACUGCCCCAUGC